UUAAAGACUGUGACGGGAAGAGUAUGUAUGGAAAUUCAUUUAAAGAGAGCCGAUUAUGGUGGGAUUUCGGCAUUGAAUCUGUAUUGAAGAACAUCCCCGAGUUUCUAACCGAAAUCGCCAAGAGAGUAGGCUUAGACGGCUUCAAUCCGUUAUAAAUUGAACAGCAUCGAAUGCCUGCAGGAAUUCCGUGUUGUAGUGAGAUGGCUAGAUUUGUUUCUAGUCAAUUAGGGUGGUACCGCGAAAUCAUAACCUUUCGUCCCUUCG
rnacentral:ncRNA from 1 species